rnacentral:rRNA from 1 species
GAUGAACGCUGGCGGCGUGCUUAACACAUGCAAGUCGAACGAAACACCUUAUUUGAUUUUCUUCGGAACUGAAGAUUUGGUGAUUGAGUGGCGGACGGGUGAGUAACGCGUGGGUAACCUGCCCUGUACAGGGGGAUAACAGUCAGAAAUGACUGCUAAUACCGCAUAAUACCACAGCACCGCAUGGUGCAGGGGUAAAAACUCCGGUGGUACAGGAUGGACCCGCGUCUGAUUAGCUGGUUGGUGAGGUAACGGCUCACCAAGGCGACGAUCAGUAGCCGGGUUGAGAGAGUGAACGGCCACAUUGGGACUGAGACACGGCCCAAACUCCUACGGGAGGCAGCAGUGGGGAAUAUUGCACAAUGGGGGAAACCCUGAUGAAGCGACGCCGCGUGAGUGAAGAAGUAUUUCGGUAUGUAAAGCUCCAUCAGCAGGGAAGAAAAUGACGGUACCUGACUAAGAAGCCCCGGCUAACUACGUG